rnacentral:rRNA from 1 species
CAGCCGCCGCGGUAAUACGAAGGGUGCAAGCGUUAAUCGGAAUUACUGGGCGUAAAGCGUGCGUAGGCGGUUUGUUAAGUCUGUUGUGAAAUCCCCGGGCUCAACCUGGGAAUGGCAAUGGAUACUGGCAAGCUAGAGUGUGUCAGAGGAUGGUGGAAUUCCCGGUGUAGCGGUGAAAUGCGUAGAGAUCGGGAGGAACACCAGUGGCGAAGGCGACUCUCUGGUCUGUAACUGACGCUGAGGAGCGAAAGCGUGGGGAGCAAACAGGAUUAGAUACCCCAGUAGUCCCUGUCUCUUAUAC